CGCUGGCGGCGUGCUUACACAUGCAAGUCGAACGAUGAAAGCGGGAGCUUGCUCCUGCUGGAUUAGUGGCGAACGGGUGAGUAACACGUGAGCAAUCUGCCCCUGACUCUGGGAUAAGCGUUGGAAACGACGUCUAAUACCGGAUACGAGAUGAGACCGCAUGGUCAUCAUCUGGAAAGAACUUCGGUCAGGGAUGAGCUCGCGGCCUAUCAGCUUGUUGGUGAGGUAAUGGCUCACCAAGGCGACGACGGGUAGCCGGCCUGAGAGGGUGACCGGCCACACUGGGACUGAGACACGGCCCAGACUCCUACGGGAGGCAGCAGUGGGGAAUAUUGCACAAUGGGCGCAAGCCUGAUGCAGCAACGCCGCGUGAGGGAUGAAGGCCUUCGGGUUGUAAACCUCUUUUAGCAGGGAAGAAGCGAAAGUGACGGUACCUGCAGAAAAAGCGCCGGCUAACUACGUGCCAGCAGCCGCGGUAAUACGUAGGGCGCAAGCGUUGUCCGGAAUUAUUGGGCGUAAAGAGCUCGUAGGCGGUUUGUCGCGUCUGCUGUGAAAAUCCGAGGCUCAACCUCGGACCUGCAGUGGGUACGGGCAAACUAGAGUGCGGUAGGGGAGAUUGGAAUUCCUGGUGUAGCGGUGGAAUGCGCAGAUAUCAGGAGGAACACCAAUGGCGAAGGCAGAUCUCUGGGCCGUAACUGACGCUGAGGAGCGAAAGCGUGGGGAGCGAACAGGAUUAGAUACCCUGGUAGUCCACGCCGUAAACGGUGGGAACUAGAUGUAGGGACCGUUCCACGGUUUCUGUGUCGCAGCUAACGCAUUAAGUUCCC
rnacentral:rRNA from 1 species